UACAGGGGGUGCAAACGUUGCUCGGAAUCAUUGGGCGUAAAAGCGCACGUAGGCGGUUCGUUAUGUCGGAUGUGAAACGCCCUUGGCUUAACCGAGGAAGUGCAUCCGAAACUGGCGAGCUAGAGUACGAAAGAGGAUCGCGGAAAUUCCCGGUGUAGAGGUGAAAUUCGUAGAUAUCGGGAGGAACACCGGUGGCGAAGGCGGCGAUCUGGGUCGAUACUGACGCUGAGGUGGCGAAAGCGUGGGGAGCAAACAGG
rnacentral:rRNA from 1 species